CAGGGAGACAAAACAAAGAUUAUGAUGUCUGAGUAAAAAUUCUUAGACCGUAGUCCUGUCACCUUAGGUCGAUCGGUACCUCAAUCUUUAGAACUUUAAAGUGAAUAUUCAUUUUCUUAGAUCUAAAUAAUUCAGUUCCUAAACUUGUCUAGGUCACACCCAACGAUGGUUCUCCUGGGCCAUUAGCUCAGGUGGUUAGAGCGCACCCCUGAUAAGGGUGAGGUCCCUGGUUCAAGUCCAGGAUGGCCCAUUCGGUGUUGGGGGUAUAGCUCAGUUGGUAGAGCGCCUGCUUUGCAAGCAGGAUGUCAGCGGUUCGAGUCCGCUUACCUCCACUGAUUAACCACCAGAUAUCCCAACGAAAAGGAGAGCAGUAGUUAUUGUGAUUUAGACCAUGUUCCUGAUGAGAUGAACCUAGCUUUCUAUCAUUCCAUAAUUAAAUAAUGGUUGGUAACAAGCUGGGCUCCUUAAAGUUCUUUAUUUGAGCUUUAAAGAUCUUCAGUAGAACCUUGACAACUGCAUAGAUUGAGUCUGGAAAGAAAUUAAGCAUCUCAUAGAUGCAUAAUUCUUUUAUUGAUAUUCAAUAUUGUAAUUACAAUAUUGCUCUAAAUAAAUAAAAGAAUUUAUGUUGAUUUUGAAUUAAAAGAAAUGCUCUAUAGAUUUAUUUCAUAGAGCUAAU
rnacentral:tRNA from 1 species